UACGUAGGUGGCAAGCGUUGUCCGGAAUUAUUGGGCGUAAAGCGCGCGCAGGCGGCUUCUUAAGUCUGAUGUGAAAUCUCGGGGCUCAACCCCGAGCGGCCAUUGGAAACUGGGAAGCUUGAGUACAGAAGAGGAGAGUGGAAUUCCACGUGUAGCGGUGAAAUGCGUAGAUAUGUGGAGGAACACCAGUGGCGAAGGCGACUCUCUGGUCUGUAACUGAGGCUGAGGCGCGAAAGCGUGGGGAGCAAACAGG
rnacentral:rRNA from 1 species